rnacentral:rRNA from 1 species
GAUGAACGCUGGCGGCGUGCCUAAUACAUGCAAGUCGAGCGAACUGAUUAGAAGCUUGCUUCUAUGACGUUAGCGGCGGACGGGUGAGUAACACGUGGGCAACCUGCCUGUAAGACUGGGAUAACUUCGGGAAACCGAAGCUAAUACCGGAUAGGAUCUUCUCCUUCAUGGGAGAUGAUUGAAAGAUGGUUUCGGCUAUCACUUACAGAUGGGCCCGCGGUGCAUUAGCUAGUAGGUGAGGUAACGGCUAACCAAGGCAACGAUGCAUAGCGGACCUGAGAGGGUGAUCGGCCACACUGGGACUGAGACACGGCCCAGACUCCUACGGGAGGCAGCAGUAGGGAAUCUUCCGCAGUGGACGAAAGUCUGACGGAGCAACGCCGCGUGAGUGAUGAAGGCUUUCGGGUCGUAAAACUCUGUUGUUAGGGAAGAACAAGUACAAGAGUAACUGCUUGUACCUUGACGGUACCUAACCAGAAAGCCACGGCUAACUACGUGCCAGCCGCCGCCGUAAAAC